GCUUGUCUCAAAGAUUAAGCCAUGCAUGUCUAAGUAUAAAUAGAAUACAGUGAAACUGCGAAUGGCUCAUUAAAACAGUUAUAGUUUAUUUGAUGAUUGAAGUCUACAUGGAUAACCGUGGUAAUUCUAGAGCUAAUACAUGCAUUCAGGCCUGACUCACGAAGGGCUGUAUUUAUUAGAUAUGAAGCCAAUAUUCCGCAAGGUCUAUUGUGGUGAAUCAUAGUAACUGAUCGGAUCCCCAACUGGGGAUAGAUCAUUCAAGUUUCUGCCCUAUCAGCUUUCGAUGGUAGUGUAUUGGACUACCAUGGCAGUAACGGGUAACGGAGAAUUAGGGUUCGGUUCCGGAGAGGGAGCCUGAGAAACGGCUACCACAUCUAAGGAAGGCAGCAGG
rnacentral:rRNA from 1 species